AAACAACUCUCAGCAACGGAUAUCUUGGCUCUUGCAAACGAUGAGGAACGCGGCGAAAUGCGAUACGUAGUGUGAAUGGCAGAAUUCCGCGAAUCAUCGAGUCUUUGAACGCAAGUUGCGCCCGAGGCUUGUCCGAGGGCAUUUCCGCUAGAGCGUCACC
rnacentral:rRNA from 1 species